UGGCGCACGGGUGAGUAACACGUAGGUAAUGUGCCUUUUGGGUGGGGAAUAACUUAGGGAAACUUAAGCUAAUACCGCAUAAUGCGAUAACUUCUUCGGAAGAUUUUGUUAAAGAUUUAUCGCCUGAAGAGCAGCCUGCGGCAGAUUAGCUAGUUGGUAAGGUAACGGCUUACCAAGGCUACGAUCUGUAUCCGACCUGAGAGGGUGGUCGGACACACUGACACUGAAUAACGGGUCAG
rnacentral:rRNA from 1 species